GAUGAACGCUGGCGGCGUGCCUAAUACAUGCAAGUCGAGCGAACAGACGCGGAGCUUGCUCCUCUGACGUUAGCGGCGGACGGGUGAGUCACACGUGGAUAACCUACCUAUCAGACUGGGAUAACUUCGGAAAACCGGAGCUAAUACCGGAUAAUAUAUUGAACCGCAUGGUUCAAUAGUGAAAUACGGUUUUGCUGUCACUUAUAGAUGGAUCCGCGCCGCAUUAGCUAGUUGGUAAGGUAACGGCUUACCAAGGCAACGAUGCGUAGCCGACCUGAGAGGGUGAUCGGCCGCAUUGGAACUUAGACACGGACCUGACUCCUACGGUAGGCAGCAGUAUCGAAUCGUCCGCAGCGGGCGAAAGCCUGGCGGAGCGACGCCGCGUGAGUUAUGAAGGUCUUCGGAUCGUAAUGCUCUCUUAUGAGUUAAGAACAAAUUUGUAAUUAACUAAGCACGUCUUGACGGUACCUAGUCAGAAAGCCACGGCUAACUACGUG
rnacentral:rRNA from 1 species